CAGCCCUCAAAUGCAGAUGUCGUCAAGCCUACUUACACCUUUCUACAUAAACAAAGCAGUGGCUGCUACUCACUGUCUAUUACUUCAAGUCCAGAUGAAGAAUGGCGAGAAGUCAGGAACACUGGACCCGUUCAGAAGUUGAUUGUGUAUCCUCCACCACCUACUAAGGGAGGCUUGGGAGUAACUAAUGAAGAUCUGGAAUGUUUAGAAGAAGGAGAAUUUCUUAACGAUGUGAUCAUUGACUUUUACCUUAAGUAUCUUCUUUUGGAGAAGGCAUCAGAUGAACUUGUUGAGCGAAGCCACAUUUUUAGUAGCUUUUUCUAUAAAUGCUUGACAAGAAAGGAAAAUAACUUAACAGAAGAUAAUCCAGAUCUUUC
rnacentral:lncRNA from 1 species